UUAAAUUGAAGAGUUUGAUCAUGGCUCAGAUUGAACGCUGGCGGCAGGCCUAACACAUGCAAGUCGAGCGGAAACGAGUUAUCAGAACCUUCGGGGGACGAUAACGGCGUCGAGC
rnacentral:rRNA from 1 species